rnacentral:rRNA from 1 species
AUUGAACGCUGGCGGCAUGCUUUACACAUGCAAGUCGAACGGCAGCGCGGGCUUCGGCCUGGCGGCGAGUGGCGAACGGGUGAGUAAUGCAUCGGAACGUGCCCAGUAGUGGGGGAUAGCCCGGCGAAAGCCGGAUUAAUACCGCAUACGACCUGAGGGUGAAAGCGGGGGACCGAAAGGCCUCGCGCUAUUGGAGCGGCCGAUGUCGGAUUAGCUAGUUGGUGGGGUAAAGGCUUACCAAGGCGACGAUCCGUAGCUGGUCUGAGAGGACGACCAGCCACACUGGGACUGAGACACGGCCCAGACUCCUACGGGAGGCAGCAGUGGGGAAUUUUGGACAAUGGGGGCAACCCUGAGCCAGCCAUGCCGCGUGCGGGAAGAAGGCCUUCGGGUUGUAAACCGCUUUUGUUCGGGAAGAAAUCCUCUGGGCUAAUACCCCGGGGGGAUGACGGUACCGGAAGAAUAAGCACCGGCUAACUACGUG